rnacentral:lncRNA from 1 species
CUGCCAUCUAGGGGAGGGGGUGGGAAGUAAGAGGUGAAAAAUUGGAACAAGAAGUUUGGCAAUUGUUAAUGCUGUAAAGUUACCCAUGCAUAUAACCUGUAAAUAAAAGGCUAUUAAAUAACAACAAAAAAAGGAAAGAGUAUUAUGCUUCACAAUUAUACAAAGUCCACUUUACAUAACUGAAUGAUGAAUGCCUAGGCAAAAGAGGUAUGGACAGUUAGAACCAGGUUUAGAAUAUUUUCAUAAAUUACCCACUGUCGUCAUUAUUAUUCAAUAUCAUAUUAGCAAUGUUAGAUUUGGCAAUAAAAGAAGAAAAAGAGAUUAAAGGAAUUAGAGUAGGCAAUGAGGAAACCAAAAUAUCACUCUUUGGAGAUAUGAUGGUAUUCUUAGAGAAACUUAGAGAAUCAACUAAAAAAAAAUGUUAGAAACAAUUUAUAUUAGCAAAAUUAUAGAUAACAAAAUAAAUCCACAUAAAUCAUCAUUUUUAUAUAUUACCAAACAAAGUUCAGCAGCAAGAUAUACAAACAGAAAUUCCAUUUAAAAUAACUGUCGAUAGUAUAAAAUACUUAGGUAUAUAUCAGCCAAGGAAACUAUAUGAACACAACUACACAACACUUUCCACACAAAGUCAGAUUUCAUUACUUCUUAGAGGAGAUUAGUAUUCUGCUUUAUUUAUAUACCACUGUUUCGUCAGCUGUUUUCCAAUUGAUAAAUAUGUCAAUUUCUUUGAUGCCCUGUCCCCCCAAAAGUUUUUGUAAGUAUUUUUAUAUUCGUGGGUCCUCUUACUCAUUCUUUGAGCUCUUUUACUUAUAAGCUUAAAAAAAGUGUCACUGGGUAAAAGAUAUUCAUGAUUUAAUUAUUUUGGAGUAUAUGUCUGAACUUGCUCUCCAGAAUGGCUAGACUAGCCCACAAUUCAACCAACAGUAUUAAUAUAACUAUUUCUACAACAUUUUCACUUCCAACACUUUCUUUUUAAUCUUUUCCCAUCUACUAGUCAUCAGCUAUAACCUUAGAUAUAUUCCAAUUUGCAUAUCUUUAAUUAUUGACAGAACAUUUUUCCACAUACCUGUUAACUUUUUAAUUUAAUUUUUUAAUGGAAACAUUCACUUUUUAUUAUUUUUAUUAUUAUUUAUUUUUAUGAUUAUUUUUAUUUUUAUAAUUUAUUGUAUUUUAUUAUAAUUUUAAACAUUUAUAUGACAAAUUAAUGUUUAUGAAAGAUUUAUGUUUUUUAAUAUUAUGCACAUACAUUCAUUUUAAAGAAAUUUCUAUAAACAUCUUGUUGGGAGAAAAAAAAUCAAAAAGAGAUAUAAGAAAACUAUAAGGAAAAAAAAAUGAACAGAAGACAGAAAUAAGGUGAAAAUUAUAUGUGAUGAUACACAUUUAGUCUCCAUAUUUCUUUCUCUAGAUGUGUAUGCCAUUUUCCCUCCAAACUUUGAGAUUGCCUCGAAUCACUGAAUUGAUGAGUCUAUCAUAAUUGAUUAUUGCAGAAUCUUCUUGUUGUUGUGUACAGUGAUAUUCUGGUUUUCCUUGAUUCACUUAGCAUUAGUUCAUGUGAAACUUUUCAGACUUUUAAAAAAUCAGCUUGGGCAGCAUUUUUUUAUAGAAUAAUAAUAAGCAUCUAUUCUUUUUCCAAUUCUAGGUCACCAUAGAAAGAGUUACUACAAGCAUUUUUAAACACCUCUAUCUGUUUCAUUCAUGAUUUCUUUGGGACACCAACACAAUAGUGGCUCUGCAUGAUCAAAGGGUAUGCACAAUCUGAUAAUCCUUUGGAUAUGGUUCCAAAUUGCUCUCCAGAAUGGUGAUAUCAGAUCACAACUCCAUCAGCAAUGCAUCAGUGUACCCUGUUUUCCCACAUCACCUCCAAUAUUUAUCAUACUGUCCUUUUAUGUUAGCCAAUCAGAUAUGAGUAAGAUGGUACCUCAGGGUGGUUUUAAUUUACAUUUCUCCAAUCAAUAAAUACUUAGAACAUCUUUCCAUAAGUCUAUAUUUGGAUUUAACUUCUUCAUAUGCCAAGUAUUUGUUCCCAUCCAUUGAUCAUUCAUCAGCAGGAUAAUGGCUUGGAUUCUUAUAUUUUGAGUCAAUUCUCUAUGUUUUAGAAAUGAGGCCUCUUUCAGAAACACUGAAUGUAAAAACUAUUUCCCAGCUUUCUGCUUUGGCUGCACUGGUUCAAUUAAAAAAAAAAUGUUUUUAACUUAAUGUAAUCUAAAUUUAUCCAUUUUGUAUUUCAUAUUGUUCUUUAAAUCUUGUUUGGUCAUAAAAUUUCCCUUCUCCAAAGAUAUGAGAAAUAAAUGAUCCCUUCCCACAAUUUGCUUAUAACGAUUACCCUUUGUGUUUAAUUCAUGUGCCCAUUGUGAUCAAAAAAAGGUCAGGGUGUAAGGUAUAGGUCUAUGCUGGGUUUUUGACAUACCAUAUUCCAGUCUUCUCAGCAAUUUUGGAUAAAGAGUUAAGUUUUUAUCCCAGAAGCUAGAGUCUUUGGGUUUAAUCAAACAAUACCUUUCUAUAGCCAUGGACUAUCUGUUUUGCAUAUCCAACCUAUUUUACUGCUUUACCACUUUAUUUCUUAGAUCAGUACCAGAUAGUUUUGAUGAUUGCUACUUUAUAACAGUUUUAGGUUUGGUACUGAUAGACCACCAUCUUUUGCAUUUUUUACCCACUAAUUCCCUUAAUAUUCUUGAAUUGUCUGUUUCCAGAUCAAUUUUAUUAUUUCAUGCCUCAUGCAAUCAUUUCUGGGCAAUUUGAUUUGUAUGGCCAUGAGCAAGUAGAUUCAUUUAAGCACAACUGUCAUUUUUAUUAUAUCAGCUUGGCCUAACAAAGAACAGUUGACAUUUUCCUAAUAAUCUAAAUCUUUGUGUGAAAAGUGUUUGGUAAUUCUGCUCUUAUCGUUCCCGGGUUUGUUUUGGCAGAUAUAUGGCCAAGAAUUUUAUUUUGUCUUAAGUUAUUUUAAAUGGAAUUUCUCUAUUUCUUGUUACUGGGUAUUUUUGUCAACAUGCACAAAUGCUACUGAUUUAGGUUCAUUUUAUGUCCUUCAACUUUGCUAAAGUUGUUGCUUCAAGUCAUUUUUUGGUUAAGUAUACUGUCAUGUCAUGUGCAAAAUAUGCUAAUUUUUCCUUCCUCAUUGCCUACUUUAAUUCCUUCUAUUUAUUAGAAACCACAUUUGUAGUACAAAAUUGAAUACUAGAGAUAAUAAAUCGCAUCUUUGUUUCACCCCGAUCUAAUUGAAAUGCAUCCAGCUUCUCUUCAUUACAAAUAAUGCUUUUGGUUUUAGAAAUAUGCUGCUUAUCAUUUUAAGAAAAACUCAUUUAUUCAUAUAGUCUCAAAUGCUUUUAAUAGUACCGGGUGCUGUAUUUUGUGAAAAGUUUUUUCUGCAUCUACUGAGAUUAUCAUAUGAUUUCUGUUUUUCAGUUAUGGCAAUGUAGUCCUGGAAAAACUCGUAUUUGAUUACAGUGUAUUGUCCUGUUAAUAAAUUGUUGUACUGUUUUUGGUAAUACUUUAAAUGUUUUGCAUAAAUAUUCACUAAUCUGUAAUUUUUUUGUUUUGGUUUCUCUUGAUUUUAGUAGUGGAAUUUUUUUUUUUAAUAUAGGUAGAAUUGAUUUGUAAAUUCAUCUGGGCUUGGGGAAUUUUUUUUCCCUCGAGGAGUUCACUAAUGGUUUGCUCAAUAUCUCUUUUAAAAAUGGGAAUAUGUAAUAUUUUAUUUCCUCUUCUGUUAAUCUGGACAAUAUAUACAUAUUUUUAAUGUUCAACCAUUUCAAUUUGUCAGAUUUGUUGGAUAAAAUAGAUCCUAAUUAGUGCGGUAAUUUCCUCUUCAGUGGUAAGUUAAAACUUUUCAUUUUUCAUGAGGGUAACUUUGUUUUCUUUUCUUUUUCUUCUCAAAUUAACCAAAGUUUAUCUAUUUUGUUAGGGUUUUCAUAAAACCAACUUUUAAUUUUAUUAAUUAGUUCAAUAGAUUUCUUCCUUUCAAUUUUAUUCGUCUUUCCUUUGAUUCUCAGAAUUUCCAAUUUGGUAUUAGGUCUUUUUCCAGCCUCUAUAGUUGCAUAAUCUCUUUUCUCUAUUUUAUUGGUAUAAAGCAUUUAGAGAUUAAAAAAAAAAAUUCCCCUAAUAAUUGCUUUGACUAUAUCCCAUAACUAUUGGUAUUUUGUCUUCCUCUUCUCAUUCUCUUGAACAAAAUUGUGGUUCCUGUGAUUUGUUGUUUGACUCGCUCAUUUAAUUUGCAAUUAUUUUUAAUCUUAUCUUUCCCUGAACCUUUAUUAAAUAUAAUUUUUAUUGCAUGUUUUUCAGAAGAGGAUGAAUUUACUCUUUCUACCUUUCUGCAUUUCUUUGUGAGAUUUUUAUGUCCUAGAAUAUUUUAUCAAGAUAUAGCUUUCUUCUUUCUUUUAUUAGGUCUGUUUUAGCUUAUUAUUCUGUCUGAAAUCUUAAUUGCUACCUUUGGCUUUUUUUGCUUCACAAUAUAUUCUGCUUCAGACCUUUGUCUUUACUCUGUUUCACUGUUUCAAAUGUGUUUUUUGUAGACAAUGUACAGUUUUUAAUCCACCCUGCUAUCUGCUUACAUUUUAUUGGAGAAUUUGUUCCAAUUAUCUUCUUUUUGGUGGUAAAUUUGUUUACAUUUAAUACACAUUGCUUUAUUAAUCAUGGUGGAAGAAAAAAAAUCAGAGCAAAAGGGAAAAGCCAUGGAAUCUAUUUUUUAAAAAAAUAGAAAAAAGAAGUGAACAUAGCACAUGUGGAUUUAUGUUCUGUCUCCCCAGUUCUUUUUCUAGAUGCAGAUGGCAUUUUCUGUCUAAAGUCUAUUGGGAUUGCUUUGGAUCACUGAAUCUCUGAGAAGAACCAAAUCUUUCAUAGUUGAUCAUUGCACAUUCUUACUGUUACUGUGUACAACGUAUUCCUGGUUCUGCUUGUUUUGCUCAGCAUCAAUUCAUGUAAAUCUUUCUAGGCCUUUCUACAAUCAUCUUCCUCAUUUUCUAUACUGUAAUAAACUUCCACUAUUUUCAUAUAUCGCAAUUUGUUUAGUCAUUCCCCAAUUGAUGGGUAUGUACUAAUUUUCCAAUUCUUUGCUAUGACAAUACGAUCUGCUACAGUUUUGCAAAUGUCGAUGCUUUUCCCUCCUUCACUAUUUCCUUAGGAUACAGAUCUAGUAAUGGCACUGCUGGGUCAAAAGGUAUGCAAGCUUUAUAGCCCUUUAGUUCCAGAUUGUUCUCCAGAAUGAUUGAAUCAUUUCACAUCUCCACCAACAAUGCAUUAGUGUCCCAAUUUUCCUACAAUCCCUUCCAAUAUUUGUCAUUAUCUUUUUCUGUCAUCUUUGCCAAUCUGAAAGGUUUGAGGUGGCAUUUCAGAGUUGUUUGAAUUUGCAUUUCUCUAAUCAAUAAUCAUGUACAGCAUUUAUGAUCUUAAAUGGCUUUAAUUUCAUCAUCUAUUUAUAUCCUUUGACUAUUUGCCAAAUGAGGAAUGACUUGUAUUCUUAUAAAUUUGAUACAGUUCUCUUAUAUAUUGUAGAAAAUGAAAAAGACUUUUAUCAGAUAAAAAACUAGCUGUGAUAUUUUCCAAACUUUGUAAUUCCCUUUUAAUCUUGUUUCUCUUGAUUUUUUUUGUGCUAAAACAAUAUAAUGUAAUGUAAUCAGAGUUGUCUAUUUUGCAUUCCAUAAUGUUGUCUAGUCCUUUAGUAAUAAAUUACUCCCUUCUCCAAAGAUAUGAUAGGCAAAUUAUUGCUUAAUUUCCUAAUUUGCUUAUGGCAACACUCUUUAUCCCCAAAUUAUAUAUUUUGACUUUAUUUUAAUAUGAGGUGUGAGAUGAAGUUCUAUGCUGAGUUUCUGACAUUUUGGAGUUUUCUCAGAAAUUUUUGUAAAAGAGCAAGUUCUUAUCACACCACUUGAAUUAAAUUUGGGGGUUUAUCAAAUACUAGAUCACUAUAGGCAUUGAUUAUUGUGUAAUAUCUAACCUAUUGCACUGGUCCACUACUCUAUUUCUUAGCCAAUACCAAAUGGUUUUGAUAAUUGUUACUUUAUAAUAAUAGUUUUAGGUCUGGUACUUCUAAGCCUCCAUCUUUUGUAUUUUUUUUCAUUAAUUCACUUGAUAUUCUUGCCCUUUUAUUCUUUCCGAUGAAUUUUUAUAUUUUUUCUAGUUCUACAAAAUAAGUUUUGGCAGUUUAAUUGGUAUGGCACUGAAGAGGUAGAUCAAUUGAGGUAGAACUGUCAUUUUCCUGACAUUAGCUUGACCUAAUUAUGAGCAAUUGAUAUUUUUCCAAUUUUUAGAUUUCACUUUAUUUGUGUGAGAAGUGUUUUGUAAUUGUGUUCAUAUACUUCCUGGGUUUGUCUGGACAGGAAGACACCCAAGUAUUUUAUUUGGUGUACAAUUAUUUUAAGUCAAAUUUCUUUCCAUCUUUUGCUGCUGGGCUUUGUCAGUGAUGUUUAAAAAAGAUGAUGAUUUGUAUGUAUAUCCUGCAACUUUGCUAAAGCUGUUAAUUUUUCAAGUAGGCAUUUGGAAGAUCUUCUAGGAUUCUCUGUGUAUAUCAUCAUGUCAUCUGCAAAGAGUAAUAGGUUUAUCUUCUCAUUGCCUAACCUACUUUCUUUCAUUUCUGUUUCUUUUUUUGCUUAAGUCAAUAUUUCUAGUAAAAUGCUGCAUAAAAGUGGUGAUAAUGGCAUCCUUGUUUCACCCCUAAUCUUAUUGGGAAUACAACUACUUUCACUUCACUCCAUUACAAAUGAUGUUUGUUGUUGGUUUGAGAUUUUAUUUUAAGGAAAAUUCCCUUCGUCCCUAUGCUCUCAUGUUUUUAAUAGGAAUGGGUGCUGUCCUUUAAUAGGAAGGAAAAGCUGUUUUCUGCAUGUAUUAAGAAUAUCUUGUGAUUUCUGUUGAUUAUGGCAAUGGUUUUCCCAAUAUUGAACCAGCCCCAUAUUCCUGAUAUAAAUCCCACUUGGCUUUCUGACAUAAUGUAUUAUCCUACUGAUAUAUUGGUGUAAAUUCUUUGUAAAUACUUUAUUUUAAAUGUUUUACUCAUUAGGAAGAUUGUUCUAUAAUUUUCUUAACCUAAAUUAGGAACAGCCAAAAUAGAGAAAGACUUGAAGUAGAUUAUCAGUUUCAUAUUUGUAUCAUGGAAAGAAUUUGGCAGGACUCCUUCUUUGCCUAUUUUUGGAACCAGUUUAUUGAAAUUAAUUGUUCUUUAAAUGGUGGGUAGAAUUCACUCUAAAUCCCUCUAGCCUUUUGAGAACUUUUUCGUAGGAAGUUCAUUGAUGGCUUGUUCAAUUUCUUUUUUUCUAAAAUGGGACUAUUUAAAAAAAUUAGUUUCCAUUUCUGUUAAUCUGAGCAAUUUACAUUCCGUAAAUAUUCAUUCAUUUUGAUUGUCAUAUUUGCUGGCAUAAAGUUGGGCAAAAUAGCUUUUAAUUAUUGCUUUAAUUGUCUUAAUUUUUUCCCUAUUUUAUUAUUUUGUUCUAUUUUUUUUUUCAUAAAAAGCUCUUAGAUUUAUUAAUCAUUUCAACGGUUCACUUAGUUUCCAUUUAAUUGCUUUGAGUCCAGGAUAUCUAAUUUUGUAUUUAAUUGGGAUUUAAAUUUUUUUAGCUUUUUUAGUUGCAUGCUCAAUUCAUUGAUCUCCUCUUUCUCUAUUUUAUUCAUGUAACUAUUUAGAGUUACAAAAUUUUCCCAAAGAACUCUUUUAGCUGUAUUUCAUAAGUUUUGGUAUGUUCUCUUAUUCUCAUUCUCUUGGAUUGCUUCUGUGAUUUGUUGUUUGAGCCACUCAUUAUCUAGAACUAGAUUAUUUGUUCCAACUGGUUUUUAAUCUAUCUUUCCCUAAAUCUUUAUUGAAUUUUUAUUGUAUAGUGGUCUGAAAUGGAAAUAUUUACUUGGCCUUUCUGCAUUUGAUUGUGAGGCUUUUAUGCCUUAUACAUGGUCACUUUUUUUGUAGGUGCUAUGUACUAUGGAGAAAAAGAUGCAUUCUUUUUUGUGCCUAAUCAAUUUUCUCCAGAGAUCCAUCAUACCUAGAUUUUCUAGGAUGCUAUUAAUUUCCUUAAGUUUCUUGUUCAUUUUGUUGUUAGAUUUGUCUCAUUUGAGAGGGAAGGUUGAAAUCUCCUACAAAAAUAGUUUAACAAUCUAUUUCUUCCUGUAACUGUGUUAAUAUCUUCUUUAGGAAUCUGGGUCCUCUACUACUUGGUGUAUAUAUGUUUAGUAUAUGCUUAUGAUUCCCCUUUAACAAGAUGUAUGUAAGCUCCCCUUCUGAGGCUACGAUGGGCUUGGGCAAUACAUACCAAUCUCCCCCGAACAGACCUGAAGACCCGAUGUUAAGGAGCCAAACAGCCUUUCUUUAUUGAUAAUCUCAGCUGGGGUUAGCAGGAAGCAAGAGCAACUGUAUGUAUGUCUCUGCAUCUCUCUGCUUCUCUGAAUCUCUCUACAUCUCUGCCUCUCCUCUUCGAAUCCUUCUUCACCUAUGGAGAAGUACUUUGGUAUUCCAAUACUCUGCUUUAAUAUCAAAGAAGACUUUUUUUUUCAGAUUUUAAAGAUGCACCAAUAAUGCCCCAAUUUGAUUAGCACAGUCAUAAUCCGAUAAUCUUGCCUAAGAUUGCAAAGAUUGGGGUUAAACCUAGAGGCAAGUUCUCUUCCAAGAAUCUCAACUAUUAUGAUCAUUAGAUAUAAAAACAAUUCAUAAGGCCUAGAAAUACUGAUAAAAAUCCUGUUCUAGGAAUUGGGAGUAAAUAUGGAAGUACAAUACUUCUGAAAUUGACCUAUCAGAAGUGUAAGAUGCAUUGUACUUCCAUGUUUGGCUGAAGAGUUGCAAAAGGAUGCCUCCAAAUUCCUUCUAUGACACAGACAUGGUACUGAUACCUAAACCAGGUAGGCUGAAAACAGAGAAAGAAAAUUACAGAAACUUAUCAUAUCUGAGUGGGCACUAAACAGUGAAGAGGAAACCUCUUUAUCUUUUUUUUUCCCUUUUACCCUGUGGCUCAGAGAAAUGGGCUGUGGUAUUUGUUUCUCUUCUUUUUUAUUUGGCCAUAUCUGUUUCUAGGAAGAAGUGAUAGAAUCCCAAACAGAGCUAGGAGUUUAAGCCAUGACAAGAUGGGAUGUAGCAGCCCGCCAGUCCAGUGGAAAAGCCCAAAGAAACCGGGUGCCUGGCUGUAAUGUUCAGGCUAGCUUUCUGGAGGUCCUCAGGCAGGGCCUUGGUCUCAGCAGGGUAGACACCACGAGAAUGGACAAGAAUAGAGUCCAAAGGCUUCACUGUCUCUUACACACUCUGUGUCUAUCAUAGUCUGACCCAGUCUCCUCCAGCAGUCUAACAAUCUGAACCAGUCUCCCUCAGAGUCUGACUUUGUCCCCAGUUUAAAUACCCUAAUACCAUUACAUCAUUACAGUAUACUGAGUAAGUGUGAAGUAGAGAACCCUGGGGGGCUGAGCCAAGAUGGCAGAGAAGGCAC